AACUACCAUCAGCGUUCCUCUAAACAGACCUCACAGCCUGGUGCAUUAGGUCACAGAGGUAGUUUUAAGGCUUGAACACUGUUAACAGUUUUGACUGUAAGGCAACACAUGGUUCCUGGCAGAAGCAGCACUGAUGCUCACACUGCUGUCACUGUGCUGAAGAAAUUGUCCUUCAUCCACAUAGGACUGGUCUUGUCUUAAGAGAGAAUGUAAUUUCCCAUCUUUAAACUCCAGAAGAGUUUCCAAUUGGCACUUGAACGCCAUGUCUGUAAGUGCUGACACCAAAGAACAAAUUAAGAGGCAAAGGGGUAAACACUGGCUUGUAUAUUGUAUUCUUUUUUGUUUUCAUUGCAGAGUAGCACUGCAAAAAAAAGGAGUUCAAGCCCACAAGUAAAUCAUCACCAAAGAGCACCUGCAUCACACUCUUCUUCACAGGAAGCUCCCAAGGUUCAAUGUGCAUGACUGCUAUGUGACUGUCCGGGAGGUGGAAAAUUCAAAAGGAUCUUUUCACAACAAACUGCUUUCCAUUCUAACUUCAUAUACAUAUACAAUUGUGCUGCUUUCCUCUGUUCCUAAAUCUAAUUUGGAGUCAAUUCUUGGACAUUUAAACAAAAAACAAAAAACCAAAAACUAUUCAUGAAAAGAAUCACCAAGGUUUAUAUGAUCUUAGUCUGAAGGUACAAUUUACCUGACCUUCAUUUGAAGUGAUUAUCUGAAAUAUGGGAUGAGAAUGACACUAGACCUCCGGUGCGGGAAGUAUUUAGCAUUUUUCAGAAAUGGCUCAAAAAUGAGCCAGGGCUGAAAGCUACAGCAGCUUGUAUGAUCAAGCUCCACAACUCUAACGUUUUACACAACACUAUUAUAAGGGGGAAGGCAUGGGGUGGGGUUCAUACUGAGAGGACCGGACUAAAUCUAUUCUCUUCACUUCUACUAAACCAAAGAGAAAAGUCCCCCAAAAUCACAAGUCUCAGAUUCAGCUAUGAAUGAUGCAUGGAAGUCUUUGCACAAGGAAUUGAUUUGGCUGAAUAUGUUAAGACCACAUAAACAAGUGGCCAUGGCAGCUGCCCCCCCAACCUCUUCCAACAUAGACAUGAAGCAGCAGAUAUUAACCAUUAUGCGUUUCCAUGUAAAAAGGGCAAUAAAGGAUAGCAGUACCCCUAAGACCUUACCCAUGAGGGAGUAUUUCAAAACUAUUUAAAAAAUAACUAACUCUGUACCUGAGGCUCAACUGCUAUUUUGUUUUCACUCUCUAUCUGCACACUCCCCUUUCGCAUUAAGGAUUCCUCUUUGCAGGUUAGCAUCUGAAUUGAUUAUGCCUAAACCACACGACAGCCUUCCCAGUGUGGAAUAAGAGAGUUGAACACGGUAGGGGCAGAAUAGCUGUUUCAAAACCAUGAUUCUCAGCUAGCUGUCUGAACCAAUAAACCUGAGGAGAAACCUUUCUCCUGCAUCAAAAACGUAAGCAUCAAUGUACCUACUGGGUGCCCCCUAGAAAUUGCUGUCAUGUACAUGCAUAUAAACACAGGGGUCAAAUUAUCUCUUUCAAGAUGAUGCAGGAAUUUCAUUACUUCAGAAAUGAUAGAAUCCAGUGAAAGCGAAUCCUUAUUAAAUAGAGUGGUCAAGUGAAACACAUUGUUUUGUUCAUGAUGAAAUCGUGACUGUAUUAUCAAAAAGCCUAUGGGUCUCAACUCAACUUUCCCUAACUUCUUUGGUUUUCCAGCCUUUCCCUCUUCCAGCCUUUGAAAAUGAAGUCCACCAGUGUGAGACCUGUAUGCUUGAUUUAGUGACUCAGUAAUCAUGACAUAGAUGUGAACUUUAUACUUAUGGUGUGAAAUCACAGAUAUUUUGGGACCAGCUGGAUCUGCUAUGGUAAAAUCGCACCAACGACUCCUGCUUUCAGACUUGCCUAUGGAGACAUUGGGAAAGAACAGAGGAGACUGAAGAGUGCUUAGAAAUCUGGGAACUGGGACUUCCACAUUCCAGUUCUUCCUGUGGCUUACCUCAUCAAUGACCCUCAGCUGAUCACAUAGUUCUUCAGUGCUACUGUUUUCUCUGCUGGCUCACAAGAGUGUUAGGAGAUGUGAGCACCCUACCAGUGAUACACAAAAUAGCUCUGGUGGGUUUCCAGAAUCAUCAGGAGCACUCAGGUCUUCAAAAGACUUGGAAAGCAUAAAGAAACACUGUGAAUGCAUGAUGCAGCAGAAGCACUUGUUUCUCAUGGGCACUUCGACAGCCAAGGCUUAUGCUGACCUUUUCAGGCUUUUCACCAAGGAACAACAAAAGAAUCAACAAAAGAAAGCCUGUGAAGAACUAUCCCAUUCCUGCGUUGCCUUACAUCUGUGCCAACAAGCAAGCUCUUUUGACAAAGGCAGUGCGUGGUGUGACAACCCUCAAGUAGAAAUGGAGACAAGAACUCGGUGGCAAAGCUUUCAGCAAUAGCUGUAACUAAAUCAAACCGCCAGCAGAAGGUGUGCCAGCAUUUGGAAAUUCCGUUUUUCCUCAUCCCUAUGAUUUAAGAUCAACAGCAUCUCAGGUAGAUAGCUAUUCAUCACAACAGAUUGGGGAAAAAACACUCAACAGGAAGCAGGACAUGUGAAAUUACUGGUGUAAAUGAAUGCAGUGCCACUGAAAAUCAGGUGGUUGCAUUGCUUUGUACCACCGGUGCUGAUUCUGGCUCAAUGCCUUCAGCACAUUGUGGAAAUUGAAAGCUCUGUGGCUGCCCCUGCAGAGGAUGUGCAGUCAGCCUUCCUGUGAGCCUCCUCAGGGUGCUAACACCCAAGAGACUCUCGCUCCUCCGCUCUGCAUAUGUCCUUUCACUUCGCUUCAACAUCAGUGUUUUUGUGAAAAAUGUCACACUAUGCCCAAGCUAUGCACCAGGCCCAAAGAGGCACUGUUGUGUGUUUUUGGAUAGGGAAACAGAAGGCAACCAAGAAAUUCACUUGCAAGCUGCAAAAGGGCUGCUAUUACUCAAUAAUAUACAAAAUUACUGCUACAGUGACUUCAUAAGAAGGGUAUCCUGCUUUGUGAUUUU